UACAGAGGGUGCGAGCGUUAAUCGGAAUUACUGGGCGUAAAGCGUGCGCAGACGGUCACGUAAGUCGGGUGUGAAAGCCCCGGGCUCAACCUGGGAAUUGCAUUCGAGACUGCGUGGCUAGGGUGCGGAAGAGGGAAGCGGAAUUUCCGGUGUAGCGGUGAAAUGCGUAGAUAAUCGGAAGGAACACCAGUGGCGAAAGCGGCUUCCUGGUCCAGCACCGACGUCAGGCACGAA
rnacentral:rRNA from 1 species